UUCUCUAUCGAUAGAUAUUUCUCCCAUCACCCAAUUUUGGAUCAGGUUGGACAAAGACUCUGUUCAUUCCAAGACCCUGCUGAUAAUCACUUCCAGACAUCUUAGGUCCUUUCUUCAUUGUUAGAUAAUUCUCCCAUCAGCAAGAAGGGAAGAUCCUAAACCUUUUUUUUUCUGCACGAGGCUGGACAAGACUCUGUUCAUUCCAAGACCGCUGCUGAUCUGAUCCUAUUCAAGGUAGAAACUUGCUGCGUACAUUGUUUUUUACUUUUCUUUUUUUUUUAAAGGGGAAAGCUUACAUCCUGAUAAUGUCGGUGCUUUCCGAAUUUCAGUACGACGAACUAUUAGGCAAUCUUGUCUCACAAGAUACGGAGAGGACGGUCAUAUCGCAAUUAGUCUACGAUGAGACCUCGAGGGAGAACCGGGAGCCCAGCAGACCACUCACCAACGGCCGGGGCUUUGCUCUUUCCCCAGUUCACCCUCGAAGCAGAUAGUGCAGAGAACUUCUCUGUGAUCUUGGUUAAAAUGUUGACAUCUUGUUGAUCUUUUAUAAAAACAACAUCGUCAGCGUAGGCAGAUAAAACCAUACCAUAAAC